rnacentral:ncRNA from 1 species
CAUUGAGGCAUGAUAGUCAGGGAUUCGCCAAUUAGAGCUGUAACUUCGGGAUAAAGCUUGGCUCUGAUGAAAAUCAGAACCGAUGUUACGCGGGAGAGCCCAACUGUUUAAUAAAAACGUAGUGUCGCGCUGUGGUAGUAUAGCCAGUGAACGCGACAUGAAUCCUGCUCAGUGCUGUGUCUGUUAAUAUGGUUCAAGCCAACGAAGCACCGGUAAAUAGCUGGGGUAACUAUGACUCUUAUCAAAGUAGCGAAAUACCUCGUCACUUAAUUAGUGACCUGCAUGAACGGAGCUAUGAGGUUCUCACUGUCCCAAACUGUCUCUCAGCGAACCAACUGUAGUGGGAACGGUCACUAGAUAUCCAGCGGGGAAAGAAGACCCUGUAGAGCUUCACUUUGGUCUAGUCUUGUAUAGUUCCUGCGGGGGUGUAGACUAGGUGGGAGAGCAAUCGAUUCUGAAAAACCACUACCCUGUUUGGAAUUAUGCUUACCUAUCACAAGGAAUAGGACUAGAUAGAAAGUUUGGCUGGGGCGGCACACCUUCGAAAGAGCAGCGAAGGUGUCCUAAGUUGAGCUCAGUGAGGACAGAAAUCUCACGUUGAGGAUAAGGCCAAAAGCUCAAUUUACUGUGCCUUUUUGUACUAGGAUCAGUUACGAAAGUAAGGCCUAACGAUCCCUAAAUAGCCUCAGGUGCGUGAGGAUUGGGGUGACAGACAAGUUACCUCCGGGACAACUGGCUUGUGGCUGCUAAGAGAUCAAAUCAACGCAGCUUUUUGAUUCUUCGAUGUCGGCUCUUCCUAUCCUAGUGAUGUACAAGUUGCUAAGGGUCGGAUUGUUCACCCGUAUUAGGGAUCGUGAGCUGGGUUUAGACCGUCGUGAGCCAGGUUUGUUUAAUCCUACUGGAUAUAGCAUCAUGAUAGUAGAUUG